rnacentral:rRNA from 1 species
AUUGAACGCUGGCGGCAUGCCUUACUCAUGCAAGUCGAACGGCAGCACGGGAGCAAUCCUGGUGGCGAGUGGCGAACGGGUGAGUAAUAAAUCGGAACGUGCCCAGUCGUGGGGGAUAACGCAGCGAAAGCUGUGCUAAUACCGCAUACGAUCUAAGGAUGAAAGCGGGGGAUCGCAAGACCUCGCGCGAUUGGAGCGGCCGAUAUCAGAUUAGCUAGUUGGUGGGGUAAAGGCCCACCAAGGCGACGAUCUGUAGCUGGUCUGAGAGGACGACCAGCCACACUGGAACUGAGACACGGUCCAGACUCCUACGGGAGGCAGCAGUGGGGAAUUUUGGACAAUGGGCGCAAGCCUGAUCCAGCAAUGCCGCGUGCAGGAUGAAGGCCUUCGGGUUGUAAACUGCUUUUGUACGGAACGAAACGGCCCUUUCUAAUACAGGGGGCUAAUGACGGUACCGUAAGAAUAAGCACCGGCUAACUACGUGCCAGCAGCCGCAGUAA